rnacentral:rRNA from 1 species
AUUGAACGCUGGCGGCAGGCCUAACACAUGCAAGUCGAGCGGCAGCGGAAAGUAGCUUGCUACUUUGCCGGCGAGCGGCGGACGGGUGAGUAAUGUCUGGGAAACUGCCUGAUGGAGGGGGAUAACUACUGGAAACGGUAGCUAAUACCGCAUGACCUCGAAAGAGCAAAGUGGGGGAUCUUCGGACCUCACGCCAUCGGAUGUGCCCAGAUGGGAUUAGCUAGUAGGUGAGGUAAUGGCUCACCUAGGCGACGAUCCCUAGCUGGUCUGAGAGGAUGACCAGCCACACUGGAACUGAGACACGGUCCAGACUCCUACGGGAGGCAGCAGUGGGGAAUAUUGCACAAUGGGCGCAAGCCUGAUGCAGCCAUGCCGCGUGUGUGAAGAAGGCCUUAGGGUUGUAAAGCACUUUCAGCGAGGAGGAAGGCAUCAUACUUAAUACGUGUGGUGAUUGACGUUACUCGCAGAAGAAGCACCGGCUAACUCCGUGCCAGCAGCCGCGGUAAUACGGAGGGUGCAAGCGUUAAUCGGAAUUACUGGGCGUAAAGCGCACGCAGGCGGUUUGUUAAGUCAGAUGUGAAAUCCCCGCGCUUAACGUGGGAACUGCAUUUGAAACUGGCAAGCUAGAGUCUUGUAGAGGGGGGUAGAAUUCCAGGUGUAGCGGUGAAAUGCGUAGAGAUCUGGAGGAAUACCGGUGGCGAAGGCGGCCCCCUGGACAAAGACUGACACUCAUGUGCGAAAGCGUGGGGAGCAAACAGG